rnacentral:lncRNA from 1 species
CAGCAAAUGUGGUAAAGAGGUUGCGUAGGUGUAGAAAAUGAAUAAUUCGAUUUGGUUGUAAUGUGUAAUAUAUUAUACAGGUGGGUGGUGCGUGCGUUUUGACUGACAAUCGAAAUAGGAUGGUUUUGCAGCCACGUUCUGACAAUGUACGACCCUUUUGUAUUUUGAUGUGUUUAUUAGGGUUAGCUUAAAAUGAUCGUGGG